CCUGAGAAACCCAAAAGAUCGAAUGGGGAGAUUCAUCGCCAGCGAUUUCGGUACGUGUGCGGUUCGCGAUGCCGGCGACUUCGGUCGCCAGGCACGCGUCCGCAUGUUUUUUAUUGCCUUGAUUGUCGGCGUGCACUUCUCCCCUAGUAGGACGUCGCGACCCGCUGGGUGUCGGUCUACGGCCCGGGCGGUAGCCUGUCUCGUGUACGCUUCGCGGCGUUACGCGGUUCAGACCCCCGGUUGCCCGACCGGCUGCUCGGCGGUACUCGCACGGUAUCUGGCCGCAAAUAUUCGAACUGCGUCCGGCCCGUCGCAAGCGAGGCAAGUGUUUUCCCGGUUGUACGGAUCUAAUGCCGUCACCGGGCCUUGCCGGCUGUUGGUUGACGGUGUCCUAGGACUGGCUAAUAAAAUUAUGAUACCGGUCGGCGACGCUACUGCUUUGGGUACUUUCAGGA
rnacentral:rRNA from 1 species